rnacentral:rRNA from 1 species
GAUGAACGCUGGCGGCGUGCCUAAUACAUGCAAGUCGAGCGAACAGACGAGGAGCUUGCUCCUCUGAAGUUAGCGGCGGACGGGUGAGUAACACGUGGAUAACCUACCUAUAAGACUGGGAUAACUUCGGGAAACCGGAGCUAAUACCGGAUAAUAUAUUGAACCGCAUGGUUCAAUAGUGAAAGACGGUUUUGCUGUCACUUAUAGAUGGAUCCGCGCCGCAUUAGCUAGUUGGUAAGGUAACGGCUUACCAAGGCAACGAUGCGUAGCCGACCUGAGAGGUGGAUCGGCCACACUGGGAGUGAGACACGGUCCAGACUCCUACGGGAGGCAGCAGUAGGGAAUCUUCCGCAAUGGGCGAAGGCCUGACGGAGCAACGCCGCGUGAGUGAUGAAGGUCUUCGGAUCGUAAAACCCUGUUAUUAGGGAAGAACAAAUGUGUAAGUAACUAUGCACGUCUUGACGGUACCUAAUCAGAAAGCCACGGCUAACUACGUG